rnacentral:rRNA from 1 species
UACGAAGGGGGCUAGCGUUGCUCGGAAUCACUGGGCGUAAAGCGCACGUAGGCGGCUUUUUAAGUCAGGGGUGAAAUCCUGGAGCUCAACUCCAGAACUGCCUUUGAUACUGGAGAGCUUGAGUCCGGGAGAGGUGAGUGGAACUGCGAGUGUAGAGGUGAAAUUCGUAGAUAUUCGCAAGAACACCAGUGGCGAAGGCGGCUCACUGGCCCGGUACUGACGCUGAGGUGCGAAAGCGUGGGGAGCAAACAGG